AAAGGUCAGUAUCCCAUCCCAGGAGGAGUUAACCAAAGCGAAGGGGUUGUUUUUCUCUAGUCUCAGAGUCAUCCACUUGAGUCAAUGCCAACGGGCCCGUGUCGCCUGGUGUCUGAACAGGCCGCUCUGCCGCAUCUCCUCGAAAUGUGAAGGAUGCAAGCACGACUUGCCCUUUUUAAGAGGGUGAUUUGGGGGGCACUGGUUUUCGGCGCCUUUCUUCUCCUCCAGAAGGCAUCUCUCUUCCCCGGAGGGACGGUUUUCCUUCAAAUCCCUUCGUCCUGACAGGUCCAGAAGGACAACAACCCUGGCCCUGGACCAAAAGGACUUGGCCCUUUCCCCCAUCCCAGAUCGGAGUAUCAGGCUGGGGCUGGGUCCUGUUCAAUAAAGGAUGCAAACACUAAA